UUCUUUGAAGAGAUUUGACCGUUGUAUUAACUGAAACAGGUAAGUUAAUUAAUUGACCAUAACUGGCGUAUUACCAUUUACAUGUCUCAGACGUCUGAUCUGCAUAAAGAAAUACGAGGCGAAAUUAAUCUUUCAAAAACUAAAUAUAAAGGUGGUAGAUGCUAAGCUGUUGAGGUUUUAUGCCAACUUUUUCAUGCUGUCUCCUGAGCUUCUACGUACUUCUGUAUGAUCUAAAGUAACCAACUCUCACUUCAAUUUCUGAUAUUCUUCAGGUAAGUUACCGACUGAAUGCUCUUACCAACAUUCGCAAAAAUAGAAAUGUCUAUCAUUUAUUGAAUUAAAUAUUGCUUUAUUGGUAAUCUAUCAAUUCUUGGUAAACUAUCGAUUGAUAAUAAACUAUGAAUAUACAGUAAGUUAUCAA
rnacentral:lncRNA from 1 species